rnacentral:rRNA from 1 species
GACGAACGCUGGCGGCGUGCUUAACACAUGCAAGUCGAACGGAAAGGCCCUGCUUUUGUGGGGUGCUCGAGUGGCGAACGGGUGAGUAACACGUAAGUAGCCUGCCCUUGACGUUCGGCUGACGGCAAGAAACUGUGACUCAUACCAUAAAGGUACUCCUGCUGCUUUUUGUGGGUAGUACAGUUUCGGCGGUUGGGGAUGGACUCGCUUCUUAUCAUCUUGUUGGUGGGGUAUUGAAUUACCAAGGCUUUGACGGGUAGUCGGCCUGAGAGGGUGACCGGCCACAUUGGGACUGAGAUACGGCCCAGACUCCUACGGGCGGCAGCAGUCGGGAAUAUUGCACAAUGGGCGGAAGAAUGAUGCAGCAACGCAGCGUGCGGGAUGAAGGCCUUCGUGUUGUAAGCAGCUUUCGCCUGUGACGAAGCGUGAGUGACGGUAAUGGGUAAAGAAGCACCGGCUAACUACGUG